CGGCGGCCGUAACUAUAACGGUCCUAAGGUAGCGAAAUUCCUUGUCGGGUAAGUUCCGACCUGCACGAAUGGCGUAAUGAUGGCCAGGCUGUCUCCACCCGAGACUCAGUGAAAUUGAACUCGCUGUGAAGAUGCAGUGUACCCGCGGCAAGACGGAAAGACCCCGUGAACCUUUACUAUAGCUUGACACUGAACACUGGUCCUUGAUGUGUAGGAUAGGUGGGAGGCUUUGAAGCGUGGACGCCAGUCUGCGUGGAGCCGACCUUGAAAUACCACCCUUUAAUGGCUGGUGUUCUAACGUAGACCCGU
rnacentral:rRNA from 1 species